UACGUAGGGGGCUAGCGUUGUCCGGAAUCAUUGGGCGUAAAGCGCGUGUAGGCGGUUCGGUAAGUCCGCUGUGAAAGUCGGGGGCUCAACCCUCGAAAGCCGGUGGAUACUGUCGGACUAGAGUACGGAAGAGGCGAGUGGAAUUCCUGGUGUAGCGGUGAAAUGCGCAGAUAUCAGGAGGAACACCGGUGGCGAAGGCGGCAUCCUGGACCGACACUGACACUGAGGAGCGAAAGCCAGGGGAGCAAACGGG
rnacentral:rRNA from 1 species